AUUGAACGCUGGCGGCAGGCCUAACACAUGCAAGUCGGGCGGAGCGGCGGACGGGUGAGUAAUGUAUGUGGAUCUGCCUGAUGGAGGGGGAUAACUACUGGAAACGGUAGCUAAUACUGCAUACUAUCAGUUGAGCCUAGGUCGGAUUAGCUAGUUGGUGGGGUAAAGGCCUCCGAAGGCGACGAUCCGUAACUGGUCUGAGAGGAUGAGCAGGCACACUGGAACUGAGCCGCGUUCCGGACUCCUACGGUAGGCAGCGGUGGGGAGUAUUGGACAAUGGGCGGAAGCCUGGUCCAGCCAUGCCACGUGUGUGGAGAGGGUCAUCGGAUUGUAAGGGUCUUUAAGUUGGGAGGCGGUACCAGCAGAAUAAGCACCGGCUAACUUCGUGCCAGCAGCCGCGGUAAUUC
rnacentral:rRNA from 1 species